AAAAUAGUCACCAGGAGGAUAUAAGGUGUUGGAAAAACCUUUCCUUUCUUCCCCGCCUAAAGUAAACCCUAAAAACCCUAGCAGCUUCUUCGCAUCAGACUCUAAGCAAUCCCCUCCUCACCUCAUCUUCAUCAUCAAGUUGCGACAAAUGGAUCAAAUUGGUGAUGUGUCGGUUCCUAGAUCAUCCUCGUUGGUUAAAGCCACACUCUGCCUUGGUGAGGAAAAGUAUUUCGUCGAUGGAACAAACAUUGAUGGUGUGCUGCUGUCCGAUCAAUUGGUUUCGAUGAAACAAGCGAGUAUGUCGAUUCUCAAGGAAUUCAUCACGAAACACAACAUUCCCGCUGAUGUACCUGAUGAAGCUGUUGAAGAAGAGGAAGAGGAAGAGGAGGACAACGGUGAUGUAGCUCCUAAGAACGGAAAAACCAAGAAGCGAAAGUGAACCCCAUAUCCAAUCAUGCUUUUCUUUUUCAGUCUUUAGGAAUUAAGGUGCUGUUGAGUUUUUAGAACUCGUUGUUUACACAUUUUUAAGCGUGUGAUCUCUAGGAAAGUAUCAACUUAGGUGGAAUUGUAAAUUCCCAUGAUGGUGGGACUUGUUUGGUGUAUUUCGUUCAUGAAUUAUGAGGAAUUGGUUGUUAAAAAUGCAUUUUGUGUUUACCUGUUUGCUGAGUUGCCUGCCUUUGGUAAUUCUUGCUGUGGAGAAGUGUACGUUUUUUUA